GAUGAACGCUGGCGGCGUGCCUAAUACAUGCAAGUCGAGCGAACAGACGAGGAGCUUGCUCCUUCGACGUUAGCGGCGGACGGGUGAGUAACACGUAGGUAACCUACCUAUAAGACUGGGAUAACUUCGGGAAACCGGAGCUAAUACCGGAUAAUAUUUCGAACCGCAUGGUUCGAUAGUGAAAGAUGGCUUUGCUAUCACUUAUAGAUGGACCUGCGCCGUAUUAGCUAGUUGGUAAGGUAACGGCUUACCAAGGCAACGAUACGUAGCCGACCUGAGAGGGUGAUCGGCCACACUGGAACUGAGACACGGUCCAGACUCCUACGGGAGGCAGCAGUAGGGAAUCUUCCGCAAUGGGCGAAAGCCUGACGGAGCAACGCCGCGUGAGUGAUGGAGGUCUUCGGAUCGUAAAACUCUGUUAUUAGGGAAGAACAAACGUGUAAGUAACUGUGCACGUCUUGACGGUACCUAAUCAGAAAGCCACGGCUAACUACGUG
rnacentral:rRNA from 1 species